rnacentral:rRNA from 1 species
AUUGAACGCUGGCGGCAGGCCUAACACAUGCAAGUCGAGCGGAGCGGCGGACGGGUGCGUAAUGCCUAGGAAUCUGCCUGGUCGUGGGGGAUAACGUCCGGAAACGGGCGCUAAUACCGCAUACUAUCAGAUGAGCCUAGGUCGGAUUAGCUAGUUGGUGGGGUAAAGGCCUACCCAGGCGACGAUCCGUAACUGGUCUGAGAGGGUGAUCAGUCACACUGGAACUGAGACACGGUCCAGACUCCUACGGGAGGAAGCAGGGGGGAAUAUUCGCCAAUGGGCGAAAGCCUGAGCCAGCAAGGCCGCGUGUGUGAAGAAGGUCUUCGGAUGGUAAAGCACUUUAAGUUGGGAGGCGUUACCAAAAGAAUAAGCACCGGCUAACUUCGUGCCAGCAGCCGCGGUAAUAC